GACGAACGCUGGCGGCGUGCCUAAUACAUGCAAGUUGAGCGAUGAAGAUUGGUGCUUGCACCAAUUUGAAGAGCAGCGAACGGGUGAGUAACGCGUGGGGAAUCUGCCUUUGAGCGGGGGACAACAUUUGGAAACGAAUGCUAAUACCGCAUAACAACUUUAAACAUAAGUUUUAAGUUUGAAAGAUGCAAUUGCAUCACUCAAAGAUGAUCCCGCGUUGUAUUAGCUAGUUGGUGAGGUAAAGGCUCACCAAGGCGAUGAUACAUAGCCGACCUGAGAGGGUGAUGGGCCACAGUGGGACUGAGACACGGCCCAAACUCCCACGGGAGGCAGCAGUAGGGAAUCUUCGGCAAUGGACGAAAGUCGGACCGAGCAAAGCCGGGUGAGUGAAGAAGGUUUUCGGAUCGGAAAACUCGGUGGGUAGAGAAGAACGGUGGUGAGAGUGGAAAGCUCAUCAAGUGACGGUAACUACCCAGAAAGGGACGGCUAACUACGUG
rnacentral:rRNA from 1 species